GCGCGGGGGUAGAAAACGCGGGGUCUCGCGGGAGCCAGGCCCGGGCAGCCAUCAGACUGCUCGGGGUUUACAGAAUAUAGUGUGCUUUCCACUAGCGCAUCACAAGGGACAGCCGUCUUUUAACAGAGGAAGCCUGGGCCGCCGUGUCUAUGGCCUCCCCCACUUCCUGGCCACUUGGUCGGGUCUGACAGAGACGGGAGCCGGGUCGCCAAGCGGACGGGAGGAAGGGUAGCGACUUCCCCCUGAGGUGUGGGGUGGAACUGCACGAGGGGCCCCAGCCCGCCAGCUCGCAGUGUGCGCCUUACAUGAGGAAAACUUGGGAGAUGAGUUGAAAACCUUGUUUCUGAGGUAGUACAAAUAAUUUAUAUCAUGAUAAAAUUGUCUCCAACAUUGAUGAGGAGGAGUGUUUCUGUGAAGCUUUGACUACGCAGUGGAAAAUGAGAUGAAGUCACUGCAUUUUCCAGUUGGCUGCAACACCAAAAAGAAUGGGGACUCUUGGUACUCCAUAAGGCUUUCUCUGCAGGAUUGAGAGUCCCUGGAGAACCG